UAAUUUCUUGCAAGAUACCGAGUUGGAAGAACUUGCUAAAAAAGAAGGAAACAAGCCCACUUGUUGUGAUAAUUGUGCCAAAAACUGAUCCUGUGGGGAUUGUGAAAUUCUGCAAAUUGAGUCUUGAAAAUGUUGGAAACUGUGCCAGCAUUGAGCAUCCAAAAUUCCAAAAAGUUGUGCCAAAUAACUACGGUAAUAUUUUUAUAUAGCGC
rnacentral:lncRNA from 1 species